GCUUACGGCCACACCGGCCUUGAGUACGCCUGAUCUCGUCCGAUCUCGGAAGCUAAGCAGGGUCGGGCUCUGGUUAGUACUUGGAUGGGAGACCCGCCUGGGAAUACCAGGUGCUGUAAGCU
rnacentral:rRNA from 1 species